CAUGGGUCCGUCGACAGCGCGCCGCGAAACCCGCCAGGCCCGGAAGGGAGCAACGGUAACGGAAAGCGAGUGUGGCGGACCCUUUGCC
rnacentral:SRP_RNA from 1 species